GGAGGGGUGCCAGAGUGGACGAUUGGGGCGGUCUCGAAAACCGUUGUGGCCGUUACGGUCACCGUGGGUUCGAAUCCCACCCCCUCCGCCU
rnacentral:tRNA from 1 species